GCCAAGCUGACACUUAGCGAGCAAGUACGGACCUCUCCUCGCAGGCUCCGGUGGGAAAGGCUCCUGGAAGGGCGCGAGCCAGGAAAGUAGAUGAAGUGAAGAGAUGAAGACUGCGUGGGGUAGUUGUUGGAAAAGCUCGGAUCAUCCCCAACCCAGCCCCGUCUUGUCCGGCCCCAAAAGGCCCAUCUCGGCCGAGCUACUCACACUUUGUACGGCAGCCGUGGGUCCGACGUCAGCGUGAUCUUAAAGGAAACCUUCGACCUGAGGAAAAGAGCGGGAGAGAGUCAGGGUCGGGCAGCUGGACCAGGAAUUAUGGCAGUCGAUUGAUGUCAGAGUGGGAUUCAAAGUAGAACUUCAGUGACUCCAAGGAGCACCAAGUCACCAAAAGGCCAAAAGAUAAAAACAAGCAAGAAAGCAAACAAAUAAAAGUAACAACAAAAUUUAAGAACCCCUUGCAUGGAAGGAUGCUUAUUUCCUCUGGACUGAAAGAUGGCAUCAGAAGUGGGAUCUAAAGUAAAGCUUCUAACAAUCCCCAUGAGCACUGAGUGACCAAGCAAGGUACACGCCAGGCCUGUUCUGUCUGUUGCUCUCACAGAGGAGCUGGGGAUCGUGGUAUGAUGAGACCAAAAGACCAGGAGACAACUGCCAAAGGUUAUUAUAACUCCAGAUCCAAAGGGAAAGGGACACAUGACACUAUGGGGGAGACACAUGGAAAAGCACCAAGGUUGGUCAGGAGGAAGAUGGACUGUGCUGAAAAUGCAGAUGACAGAAACUUCAUCUGCAUUGGCUUCGGCAAAGCAGAAAUUUAUUAGCUUACAAGGGAGAGUGGAUUGUCAUUGAGACAUAUGUUCUGCUUACGUGGAGAGUAACUUGAGCAACGUUACCCACCUCUAUGUGGAAACACAGGUUUAUUUAAAUGGAACUUCACGGACCUUGGAGAAGCAUACUCCAAACACUACAAAUGAUGGUUAUACUUUGGAGAGAUGCUAAGACAGCAGAUGCUAAAAUCCAGAUACCUUUUGUGAAUAUGAGGCAUAUCUACUGGGAACACAUCAUAAUAAUCUGUUGAGGCUGUACAGGAAACAUGGCUGGGGAGGUCUCAGGAAACUUACAAUCAUGGUGGAAAGUGAAGAGGAAGAAGACACAUCUUACAUGACAGAAGCAGGAAGAAGAGAGUGAAGGGGUAAGUGCCACACACUUUUAAACCACCAGAUCUCAUAAGAACUCACUGUCAUGAGAACAGCAAGGGGGAUGUUUGCCCCUAUGAUCCAAUCACCUCCCACCAGGCCC
rnacentral:lncRNA from 1 species